AUCAAACAAAAGAAACCAAAUAGCAGAUGUAUCAAAAUUGAACAUGAGGAUGACAAUGACGAUGGUUGAAACAGUUCCUUUUGUUUCUGUUUCUUCUCUUUUUUCUCCUUUUUCUUUUUCUUCUUUUUACAAUAUGAUUUCGAAUUUGACGACGAGCAGGAUGUUGAUAGUUCCGUUCCUCUUCGUUUAGCAAAUAAUCUAUGCGAGAAUGAUGACCACAAUGCCGUUACUGAUUCUGUUGUAUAAUAGUAGUAAGGAUCUGUGUCAUUACUCUGGUUGUUACUAUUGAUCU
rnacentral:ribozyme from 14 species